AUUGAACGCUGGCGGCAUGCCUAACACAUGCAAGUCGAACGGAUCCUUCGGGAUUAGUGGCGGACGGGUGAGUAACGCGUGGGAACAUACCCUUUGGUACGGAAUAGCCUCGGGAAACUGGGAGUAAUACCGUAUGUGGUCGAGAGACGAAAGAUUUAUCGCCAAAGGAUUGGCCCGCGUUGGAUUAGGUAGUUGGUGGGGUAAUGGCCUACCAAGCCGACGAUCCAUAGCUGGUUUGAGAGGAUGAUCAGCCACACUGGGACUGAGACACGGCCCAGACUCCUACGGGAGGCAGCAGUGGGGAAUCUUAGACAAUGGGGGAAACCCUGAUCUAGCCAUGCCGCGUGAUCGAUGAAGGCCUUAGGGUUGUAAAGAUCUUUCAGGUGGGAAGAUAAUGACUGUACCACCAGAAGAAGCCCCGGCUAACUCCGUGCCAGCAGCCGCCGUAA
rnacentral:rRNA from 1 species